rnacentral:rRNA from 1 species
UGGGUUUAAAGUGUGCGUAGGCGGCCGAUAAAGUCGAUUGUGAAAUUCCACGGCUCAACUUCGGCCAAGCAUUCUGAACUGCGAGACUUGAGUCCUGCUCAGGUAGGCGGAAUUCCCCGGUGUAGCGGUGAAAUGCGUAGAUAUCGGGAGGAACACCAGUGGCGAAGGCGGCCUACUGGAGCGGCACUGACGGUCAGGGACGAAAGCUG